rnacentral:rRNA from 1 species
CCUACGGGGGGCAGCAGUAGGGAAUCUUCCACAAUGGGCGAAAGCCUGAUGGAGCAACGCCGCGUGGGUGAAGAAGGUCUUCGGAUCGUAAAACCCUGUUGUUAGAGAAGAAAGUGCGUGAGAGUAACUGUUCACGUUUCGACGGUAUCUAACCAGAAAGCCACGGCUAACUACGUGCCAGCAGCCGCGGUAAUACGUAGGUGGCAAGCGUUAUCCGGUUUUAUUGGGCGUAAGGGGAACGCAGGCGGUCUUUUAAGUCUGAUGUGAAAGCCUUCGGCUUAACCGGAGUAGUGCAUUGGAAACUGGGAGACGUGAGUGCAGAAGAGGAGAGUGGAACUCCAUGUGUAGCGGUGAAAUGCGUAGAUAUAUGGAAGAACACCAGUGGCGAAAGCGGCUCUCUGGUCUGUAACUGACGCUGAGGUUCGAAAGCGUGGGUAGCAAACAGGAUUAGAUACCCUUGUAGUC